GUGUUUGUUGCUUCGGCAGCACACAUGCUAAAAUUGGAACAAUACAAAAAAGAUUAACAUGGCCCCUUUGAAAAAUAAAUUCAUAAAAUAUUUGAUAUUUUU